AGACCGUCAGCAGCAGGCUCCACCAGCAGAUCGGGGGGCAGGAGGCAGAGCUGAAGGCAGCGGCCUCGCGCCUAGCUGGGCUGGGAAACCGAGUCACCUUCGCCGCCAAGAGAGUCGACACCAUCCAAGGGCUGGUGUCUCGUAAAAUGGCCCUGGCGCGACUGCGGAGAGAAGAGCAGCCCAAGGCCGCUGGAUUGGAGGACGACG